rnacentral:rRNA from 1 species
ACUCCUACGGGAGGCAGCAGUGGGGAAUAUUGCACAAUGGGCGCAAGCCUGAUGCAGCCAUGCCGCGUGUGUGAAGAAGGCCUUCGGGUUGUAAAGCACUUUCAGUAGGGAGGAAGGUGGUAGUGUUAAUAGCGCUAUCAUUUGACGUUACCUACAGAAGAAGCACCGGCUAACUCCGUGCCAGCAGCCGCGGUAAUACGGAGGGUGCGAGCGUUAUCCGGAAUUAUUGGGUUUAAAGGGUCCGUAGGCGGGCCGGUAAGUCAGGGGUGAAAGUCUGUAGCUCAACUAUAGAACUGCCUUUGAUACUGCCGGUCUUGAGUCACGGUGAAGUUGCCGGAAUAUGUGGUGUAGCGGUGAAAUGCAUAGAUAUCACAUAGAACACCGAUUGCGAAGGCAGGUGACUAACCGUGUACUGACGCUGAUGGACGAAAGCGUGGGGGAGCGAACAGGAUUAGAUACCCUGGUAGGUCAGUC